AUUGAACGCUGGCGGCAUGCCUUACACAUGCAAGUCGAACGGCAGCACGGGAGCAAUCCUGGUGGCGAGUGGCGAACGGGUGAGUAAUAUAUCGGAACGUGCCCAGUCGUGGGGGAUAACGCAGCGAAAGCUGUGCUAAUACCGCAUACGAUCUACGGAUGAAAGCGGGGGAUCGCAAGACCUCGCGCGAUUGGAGCGGCUGAUAUCAGAUUAGCUAGUUGGUGAGGUAAAGGCUCACCAAGGCGACGAUCUGUAGCUGGUCUGAGAGGACGACCAGCCACACUGGAACUGAGACACGGUCCAGACUCCUACGGGAGGCAGCAGUGGGGAAUUUUGGACAAUGGCGCAAGCCUGAUCCAGCAAUGCCGCGUGCAGGAUGAAGGCCUUCGGGUUGUAAACUGCUUUUGUACGGAGCGAAACGGUCUUUCCUAAUACGAGAGGCUAAUGACGGUACCGUAAGAAUAAGCACCGGCUAACUACGUGCCAGCAGCCGCCGUAA
rnacentral:rRNA from 1 species